UACGGGGGGGGUAAGCGUUGUUCGGAAUUAUUGGGCGUAAAGAGCUCGUAGGCGGUCUGUCGCGUCGGCUGUGAAAACCCGGAGCUCAACUCCGGGCCUGCAGUCGAUACGGGCAAACUGGAGUGUUGCAGGGGAGACUGGAAUUCCUGGUGUAGCGGUGAAAUGCGCAGAUAUCAGGAGGAACACCGGUGGCGAAGGCGGGUCUCUGGGCAACAACUGACGCUGAGGAGCGAAAGCGUGGGGAGCGAACAGG
rnacentral:rRNA from 1 species